GACGAACGCUGGCGGCGUGCCUAACACAUGCAAGUCAACUUGACUGAAGGAGCAAUCUGACAGUAGAGUGGCGCAAGGGUGCGUAACGCGUAAGUAACUUGCCCCAAGGUAAGGAAUAACGUCGAGAAAUCGGCGCUAAUACCUCAUAAUGCAGCGGAUCCGCAUGGAUAUGUUGUUAAAGGUUUACCGCCUUGGGAUAGGCUUGCGUCUGAUUAGCUAGUUGGUGUGGUAACGGCACACCAAGGCUACGAUCGGUAACUGGUCUGAGAGGAUGAUCAGUCACACUGGAACUGAGACACGGUCCAGACUCCUACGGGAGGCAGCAGUGAGGAAUAUUGGGCAAUGCUCGAAAGAGUGACCCAGCAACGCCGCGUGGAGGAUGAAGGUAUUCUAUAUCGUAAACUCCUGUGAGAGCAGACGAAAGACAGAUUAUUAAUCUGGAUGACUGUAUGCUCAGAGGAAGCCCCGGCUAACUACGU
rnacentral:rRNA from 1 species